CUAAUCUGCCCACUGAUAUAAUAUUAAAGGGCUGCAGUAUUUUGACUGUACAAAGGUAGCAUAAUCAUUAGUCUUUUAAUUGAAGACUUGUAUGAAUGAUUGGAUGAAAUAUAAACUGUCUCUAAUAUUAUUAGUUAGAAUUUAAUUUUUUUAUUAAAAAGUAAAAAUAAAUUUAAAAGACGAGAAGACCCUAUAGAGUUUUAUAAUUAAUUUAAUUGAAAUUAUUUAUAAAGAUAAUUUUAAAUUAAUAAAUUAAAAUUAAGUUAAUUAUUUUGUUGGGGUGAUAAAAAAAUAAAAAUAACUUUUUUUAAUAUAUAUAUAUAUAUAUAUAUAUAUAUAUAUAUAUAUAUAUAUAUUGUAAACAAAAAUAAAUGAUUUUUUGAUCCAGAAUUUUUGAUUAUAAGAAAAAAUUACCUUAGGGAUAACAGCGUAAUUUUUUUUUUUAGUUCAAAUAAGAAAAAGAGUUUGCGACCUCGAUGUUGGAUUAAGGAAAAAUUUAAAUGCAAAAGUUUAAAAUUUUG
rnacentral:rRNA from 1 species